rnacentral:rRNA from 1 species
UACGUAGGGCGCAAGCGUUGUCCGGAAUUAUUGGGCGUAAAGAGCUCGUAGGCGGUUGGGUAAGUCGGGUGUGAAAACUCCGGGCUCAACUCGGAGACGCCACCCGAUACUGCUCUGACUUGAGUCCGGUAGGGGAGUGGGGAAUUCCUGGUGUAGCGGUGAAAUGCGCAGAUAUCAGGAGGAACACCGGUGGCGAAGGCGCCACUCUGGGCCGGAACUGACGCUGAGGAGCGAAAGCGUGGGUAGCAAACAGG